ACGCUGGCGGCAGGCUUAACACGUGCAAGUCGAGCGGAGAGAGGUAGCUUGCUACUGAUCUUAGCGGCGGACGGGUGAGUAAUGCUUAGGAAUCUGCCUAUUAGUGGGGGACAACAUUUCGAAAGGAAUGCUAAUACCGCAUACGUCCUACGGGAGAAAGCAGGGGAUCUUCGGACCUUGCGCUAAUAGAUGAGCCUAAGUCGGAUUAGCUAGUUGGUGGGGUAAAGGCCUACCAAGGCGACGAUCUGUAGCGGGUCUGAGAGGAUGAUCCGCCACACUGGGACUGAGACACGGCCCAGACUCCUACGGGAGGCAGCAGUGGGGAAUAUUGGACAAUGGGCGCAAGCCUGAUCCAGCCAUGCCGCGUGUGUGAAGAAGGCCUUAUGGUUGUAAAGCACUUUAAGCGAGGAGGAGGCUACUUUAGUUAAUACCUAGAGAUAGUGGACGUUACUCGCAGAAUAAGCACCGGCUAACUCUGUGCCAGCAGCCGCGGUAAUACAGAGGGUGCAAGCGUUAAUCGGAUUUACUGGGCGUAAAGCGCGCGUAGGCGGCUAAUUAAGUCAAAUGUGAAAUCCCCGAGCUUAACUUGGGAAUUGCAUUCGAUACUGGUUAGCUAGAGUGUGGGAGAGGAUGGUAGAAUUCCAGGUGUAGCGGUGAAAUGCGUAGAGAUCUGGAGGAAUACCGAUGGCGAAGGCAGCCAUCUGGCCUAACACUGACGCUGAGGUGCGAAAGCAUGGGGAGCAAACAGGAUUAGAUACCCUGGUAGUCCAUGCCGUAAACGAUGUCUACUAGCCGUUGGGGCCUUUGAGGCUUUAGUGGCGCAGCUAACGCGAUAAGUAGACCGCCUGGGGAGUACGGUCGCAAGACUAAAACUCAAAUGAAUUGACGGGGGCCCGCACAAGCGGUGGAGCAUGUGGUUUAAUUCGAUGCAACGCGAAGAACCUUACCUGGCCUUGACAUAGUAAGAACUUUCCAGAGAUGGAUUGGUGCCUUCGGGAACUUACAUACAGGUGCUGCAUGGCUGUCGUCAGCUCGUGUCGUGAGAUGUUGGGUUAAGUCCCGCAACGAGCGCAACCCUUUUCCUUAUUUGCCAGCGAGUAAUGUCGGGAACUUUAAGGAUACUGCCAGUGACAAACUGGAGGAAGGCGGGGACGACGUCAAGUCAUCAUGGCCCUUACGGCCAGGGCUACGCACGUGCUACAAUGGUCGGUACAAAGGGUUGCUACCUAGCGAUAGGAUGCUAAUCUCAAAAAGCCGAUCGUAGUCCGGAUUGGAGUCUGCAACUCGACUCCAUGAAGUCGGAAUCGCUAGUAAUCGCGGAUCAGAAUGCCGCGGUGAAUACGUUCCCGGGCCUUGUACACACCGCCCGUCACACCAUGGGAGUUUGUUGCACCAGAAGUAGCUAGCCUAACUGCAAAGAGGGCGGUUACCACGGUGUGGCCGAUGACUGGGG
rnacentral:rRNA from 1 species